CCCGUCACACCAUGGGAGUCAGUUGCUCUAGAAGUCGGUGCGCCAACCCGCAAGGGAGGCAGUCCGCCUAUGGUAUGACUGGUGACUGGGGUGAAGUCGUAAACAAGGUACC
rnacentral:rRNA from 1 species